UGAGGAAUUUUCCGCAAUGGACGAAAGUCUGACGGAGCAAUGCCGCGUGAAGGAUGAAGGCCCGUGGGUCGUAAACUUCUUUUCUCAAAGAAGAAAAAAAUGACGGUAUUUGAGGAAUAAGCUCCGGCUAACCCUGUGCCAGCAGCCGCGGUAAUACAGGGGGAGCAAGCGUUAUCCGGAAUGAUUGGGCGUAAAGCGUCUGUAGGUCGCUUAUGAAGUCUAUUGUUAAAUUCCGGGGCUCAACCUCGGGCAGGCAAUAGAGUACUCAUAUGCUAGAGUGUGGGAGAGGUAGAGGGAAUUCCUCAUGGAGCGGUGAAAUGCGUAGAGAUGAGGAGGAACACCGGAGGCGAAGGCGCUCUACUGGACCAAGACUGACACUGAGAGACGAAAGCCAGGGGAGUGAAAAGGAUUAGAUACCCUUGUAAUCCUGGCUGUAAACGAUGGAAACUAAGUGCUGCACAAAGCAGUGCUGUAGCUAACGCGUUAAGUUUCCCGCCUGGGG
rnacentral:rRNA from 1 species